rnacentral:rRNA from 1 species
GACCACGGGAUCACAUGGUUCUGGGGGUUAAAAGAUUUAUCGGUUUGGGGUGGGCUCGCGUCCGAUUAGGUAGUUGGUGAGGUUAACGGGCCCACCAAGCCGACGAUCGGUAGCCGACCUGAGAGGUGAUCGGCCACAUUGGGACUGAGACACGGCCCAAACUCCUACGGGAGGCAGCAGUGGGGAAUAUUGCACAAUGGGGAAACCCUGAUGCAGCGACGCCGCGUGGAGGAAGAAGGUCUUCGGAUUGUAAACUUCCUGUUGUUGAGGAAGAUAAUGACGGUACUCAACAAGGAAGUGACGGCUAACUACGUG